CGCGUGUUAAAUUCUAAUUAAGUUAUUACCUAAUUUUUCUCAAUUAUCGCAUAUAAGUUCUCUAUGUUCUCUCAUUGUUAAGCUCUCUCAGUGGUCGCGUAUAAGUUUUCUUUGUUCUCUCAGUGUUAAGUUCUCUCAUUGACCGCGUGUUAAUUUGUCUCUGUGAUUGCGUGUUAAGUUCUAACUAAGUUGUAACCUAAUUUCUCUCAAUAAUCGCGUAUAAGUUCAUUAUGUUCUCUCAUUGUUCAGUUCUCACAGUGGUCGCGUAUAAGUUUUCUUUGUUCUCUCAGUGUUAAGUUCUCUCAAUGAUCGCGUCUUAAGUUCUCUUAGUUAUCGCGUAUAAGUAAGCUAAGUUCUCUCAAUGUUAAGUUCUCUCAUUGACCGCGUGUUAAUUUGUCUCUGUGAUCGCGUGUAAAGUUCUAACUAAGUUGUAACCUAAUUUCUCUCAAUAAUCGUGUAUAAGUUCAUAUGUUCUCUUAUUGUUCUGUUCUCUCAGUGGUCGCGUAUAAGUUUUCUUUAUUCUCUCAGUGUUAAGUUCUCUCAGUGAUCGCGUAUAAGUUCUCUAAGUUCUUUCAGUGUUUAGUUCUCUCAAUGAUCGCGUCAUAAGUUCCCCCAUUAUCGCGUAUAAGUAAGUUAAGUUCUCUUAGUGUUAGGUUUUUCAUUGACCGCGUGUUAAUUUGUCUCUGUGAUCGCGUGUUAAGUUCUAACUAAGUUGUAACCUAAUUUCUCUCAAUAAUCGUGUAUAAGUUCAUUAUGUUCUCUCAUUGUUCAUUUCUCUCAGUGGUUGCGUAUAAGUUUUCUUUGUUUCUCAGUGUUAAGUUCUCUCAGUAAUCGCCUAUAAGUUAUCUAAGUUCUCUCAGUGUUUAGUUCUCUCAAUGAUCGCGUCUUAAGUUCUCUCAGUGAUAGCGUAUAAGUAAGCUUAGUUCUCUCAGUGUUAAGUUCUCUUAUUGACCGCGUGUUAAUUUGUCUCUGUGAUCGCGUGUUAAAUUCUAACUAAGUUGUAACCUAAUUUCUCUCAAUAAUCGCGUAUAAGUUCAUUAUGUUCUCUCAUUGUUCAGUUCUUUCAGUGGUCGCGUAUAAGUUUUCUUUGUUCUCUCAGUGUUUAGUUCUCUCAGUGAUCGCGUAUAAGUUCUCUAAGUUCUCUCAGUGUUUAAUUCUCUCAAUGAUCGCGUCUUAAGUUCUCUCAGUUA